GUAAAAGGAGUCUGUGAUGGUUCGACAGAGGGACGCACUGUCCUUGGUCUUUCAGUCCAGUCAGCUCCGCCAGCUUUCUGGCACUCUACCUAGUCAGUGUGGGGGAUGCCUCUUCCCUCCUGAAAUAGCUCUCUUUUAGCAUUGCUCCCAGACCAUAGAACUGUCUUUUUUAGAGGGAUGGAGGGAGCGAACAGUUUCUUGCUUAGGCAUGGUUAAUUGGCUUAUCAUCCCUGAUGUCACAGGCAGAGAGAUGCUAGGGAUUGGCUAAAGGAGGGCCCUCACCAUAUAGACAUAAAGGCAGCAGUUUACAGCACGGAUUACAUAUGUUUGUAGAAAGAGAAGGAAGAGGGAAACUUUUAGACUAGAGGCAUCCUGUUGGACUCCUAACCCUGGGCCUGCUUCUUCAUCUGUGAAAUGGAGAGAAGAAUCUGUUGCCUACCUGAGAGGAGGAGUUGUGAAGAUCAAAGAAGACAACCCUUUGUAACAAGAAAGUACAACAGGAAAGUGGUCCAUCA